rnacentral:lncRNA from 1 species
UAAAAUAAAGGACAGUAAGUGUUCCUUAGGUUUAGUACAGCAAAGUUGUUGCACGAAUCCAUGGCUGAAAACGCAGGAAAUAGCAUUUCCGAGGUUCAAAUUUUAAAAUUUUCUCGGGGGAGCAUGCCCCCGAGCCCCCCCCCCAAGGUUACAGGUCAUUCAUAUACUGUACCUCCCCCAUUUUCGAGUACUCUACUCUAUUCCUGCAUGUUUUAGGUUUUGGUGCAGUUAUACAUUUUUUGUAAUAAACCUGCACGUUUUAGUGUGGGAAACAUUAAGACAUAACCAUAUAAAAUAAAGCACUGUGAAAAUUCCUUGGCACCUCUUGGGAUUCAGUUCUCGGCCUCCUCUGACUGAAAACCCCGGCUACGUCUCUGACGAUACUAUAUGAAAGCCUUAAGUUACUGCCAGCCGUUAUUAUUAGAGGCAAAAAAAAAUAUCCUGCCGCCAAAUAUAUUGGGAAAAAAAAUCUUGCGCUGCACUUUUACAGGAAAAAAAUAUCUGUCUUGUUCCCCUGGGCGGAAAAAAAUUCUUGCACAGUCUGAAU